ACCUGGCUGGUUCAGCUGGUAGAGCACGUGAUUCUUGAUCUCAGGGUUGUGAGUUCAAGCCCCAUGUUAGGUG
rnacentral:tRNA from 1 species